UUGCCUACGGGACGCAGCAGUGAGGAAUAUUGGUCAAUGGGCGCGAGCCUGAACCAGCCAAGUAGCGUGAAGGAUGACUGCCCUACGGGUUGUAAACUUCUUUUAUAAAGGAAUAAAGUGAGGCACGUGUGCCUUUUUGUAUGUAUUUUAUGAAUAAGGAUCGGCUAACUCCGUGCCAGCAGCCGCGGUAAUACGGAGGAUCCGAGCGUUAUCCGGAUUUAUUGGGUUUAAAGGGAGCGUAGGUGGAUUGUUAAGUCAGUUGUGAAAGUUUGCGGCUCAACCGUAAAAUUGCAGUUGAAACUGGC
rnacentral:rRNA from 1 species